rnacentral:rRNA from 1 species
AACGAACGCUGGCGGCAGGCCUAACACAUGCAAGUCGAACGCCGUAGCAAUACGGAGUGGCAGACGGGUGAGUAACACGUGGGAACAUACCCUUCGGUUCGGAAUAACUCAGGGAAACUUGAGCUAAUACCGGAUACGUCCGCGAGGAGAAAGAUUCAUCGCCGGAGGAUUGGCCCGCGUCUGAUUAGCUUGUUGGUGAGGUAAUGGCUCACCAAGGCGACGAUCAGUAGCUGGUCUGAGAGGAUGAUCAGCCACAUUGGGACUGAGACACGGCCCAAACUCCUACGGGAGGCAGCAGUGGGGAAUAUUGGACAAUGGGCGCAAGCCUGAUCCAGCCAUGCCGCGUGAGUGAUGAAGGCCUAGGGUUGUAAAGCUCUUUUACCCGGGAAGAUAAUGACUGUACCGGGAGAAUAA